AUUUGUGCGAUUGAACAGAAGAGUAAGUUGGUAGAAAGUUAAGAGAGUUAGCGGUAGGUGAGAAGCUAACCUUUCUAUGAACCGAACCACAUCUGUGAGCUGAUUUUCUGAACUUAGAGUAGGGAAAUCCGGAUAGACUCGUUAUGGUCUUCAGGUCUUAUGACUUGAUGAGGUUUGCUGUGUGAACAGUAAACGAAAACGAGGUGGCACCACGAUGUGAAAAUCGUCCUCUUG
rnacentral:ncRNA from 1 species